CAGCUCACGGUAAUGCCGGACCCUUAACCCACUGAGCGAGGCCAGGGAUCGAACACGCAACCUCAUGGUUCCUAGUCGGAUUUGUUAACCACUGGGCCACGACGGGAACUUCUGGUAGAUUACAAUUUUGACUGGUGGCCAAGGUGCGCCUCAUUGAGAAAAUGACACUUUUGAAAAGACUUGAGGCGGGUGAGGGAGGAGCCUUUCAAUGCAGAGGCAGAGCACGUCGGCUUGGCCAAGAAAUAGCAAGAGGCCCUGCAGACAGUGUGGACGAGGGGAGAGGUGGAGGCCAGAAGAGGAGAUGGUGCAGGACCUUGUCAGCAGCCGUGAGGACUCUGACGGGGAGGGCCCUGGGGGGUUCUGACUGGGGGAGGGAAAUGAUGGAAUCACGCUGAACAGGCUCACUCUCGGGUCUAUGCUGACGCGGAUUGUAGAGGGCAGCAGUCAUUUCUUCGGGCUGCCACAGCAGAGUGCCACAACCUGGGUGCUUUAAAACAAUAGAAGUCUUUUCUCUCACGGUUCUGGAGCCUAGAAGUCUGAAAUCAAAGUGUCAGUAGGGCCAUGCUCCCUCUGAAGGCGCUAGGAAAGAAUCCUUCUUGGCCUCUUCUAGCUCUGCUGGUUCCUGGCAUUCCUUGAUGUUCCUUGGCUUGUGGUAGCAAAAUUCCAGUCUCUGCCCCUGUGUCCACUUGGCCUUCUUCCCUCAAUCUCUGGGUCUCUAGAUCUCCCUCUGCUUAUUAAGGACAGCAGCCAUCGGAUGCAGGCAUGGGAACUGACCUCAUUGUAACUUGAUCACAGCUGCAAAAUCCCUCUUUCCACAUAAUGUCAUCUUCACAGGUACUGGAUGUUAGGACGUCAACCUAUCUUAACAGGAUUCCAAGCCUCAUCAAGGGUCAAGGCUGGAAACAGGGAGUCCAGCUGAGAAGGAAUGGCAGCAAUCAGGACCCAGGCUGCCGAUCCGACUGGACUUCACCAUGGACACUCCAUCCCCCAUCCCACUUGGUGUUUUCUUUGUAACGAUAAGUACAAUGGCAAUUAUCACUGCAACCAGAGCCCUCACUACUUGUGCCUAUCACCCCAUCCCAAUUUAGAUAAGGAGGCCCAAGGCAAAUCAGAGCACAUUCCCACUGUUGCUGGAUAUAGUCCACCCCUCCUUCCCUCCCUCCGCCCCCUCCCCCCUUCCUUGCUUCCAAAUAACAGACUUGGAACAAGAUGGCAGCCUCACAGAAGUGGGUCAUGGGGAUUGUGUCACACAGCAAGCACAAGGUCAGCUUUGGCUUCUGCUCGCUGAACAACUACUCCUGGUCUGGGUGACUUAGCAGUGACAGACCCUGGUAAACACACUGUCAGAGGACACCCAGUGAUGAUUUUCUAACUUCAUUCCUUUGCAAUUUCUUAGGAAAAGUUGGCUAGAAGGGUCCUUGGCUAGAAGUUGACUUCACUCCUGUGGAAUUUCUUAGGAAAGUUGGCUAGAACGACCCAUCACAGUGUCCAGAAGGGUCCUUGGCACUUCUGCGCUGGCUGGUCAACACAGGACGGAGGUGGCAAAAGGGAAGGGAUGUGAGGUACAUCCAGAUGGCUUAUGAUUCAAGACCGUUGUUUUAUCCAUUUUAGUUUCUAUAUAUAACCAAUUUAUACGGGAGUCUAAAAUCAUGUGUCUAAAACAUAAUAUAGUCUUAUUUUUCCUAGUAAUUUUGCCCAGCUGGCGUUUUCCCAACACCAGCUUCUGUGCACUUGGCUUUCCUAGGUGAGGAAGGGGCUCUAUGUGCUCCGCUGAAGCCAUGCAGGGUUCUUCGAGAUGAGAGGCAGUCAUAAUGUUCCCUUUCCUUUCUUCUGAAAUUCUGAGUGAGAGAAGCAGGUACCCUCAGUGGCUUCACACCUGUGUAGGUGUUAGAUGUGGUUUAGUGCAUCCUCUGCAGAGUAAUCCCUCCCUCUCUGCACCAGGGUCUCCCCAAGAGCAGCAGGGUGACCCUGGGGUGCAAGGUGUCAGUAGCUUCAUCUAUGGGUUGCCAUGGGGCCCAGGAGAGUGCCUCCCACUCAGUGUGUCUUCAGCUGCCUUUACAGACUAGCUACCAUGCAGCAGGUGUCAGCAACAUGAAGUGCAGCCAGAAGCAGCCAGAGCACACGGCUGAGAGGGUGGGGCUAAGAAGGGAAUCUGGCUUUUGUGGUUGAGAUUGGACUCGUGAUAAAUGACUAUCUCCGGUGCUUCUCCAGGAAGCUGACAAGUGGGGAGUUUCAUUUUAUUUUUUGUGGUAUCCAAAAGUGUCAUUUCCUACUAGCCAUGCUCGGUACUGCUAUGUUCAAUAGUGGGUCUUGACACAUGGUUUCUUUAUGGAUCUCAUUUUAUUUUUAUUUUAUUUUUGUCUUUUUAGAACCCUACCUGUGGCAUACAGAGGUUCUCAGGCUAGGAGUCGAAUUGGAACUACAGCUGCAGGCCUACACCACAACCACAGCAACGUUGGAUCCAAGCUGCAUCUGCGACCGACCCCACAGCUCACAGCAAUGCCAGAUCCUUAACCCACUGAGUGAGGCCAGGGAUCGAACCCACGUCCUCAUGGAUACUAGUCAGAUUCAUUAACUGCUGAGCCACAAGGGGAACUCCUGACACAUGGUUUUCAAAGGGACUACAGCUAUAGGUUCUUAAAUAAGGGCUAAGUGAGUUUUAAGAAUGACAAAUCACUUAUAAGCAUAUUCACGGUCCAGAAAGAAACACAGAGAAAAGUAUUAAUAUCUCUAUCCCAAUGAUAAUAAAUAUAACCCUCAUUUAGAGAUGCCCUUGCUUCCAUGGUGGAGGGUCUUCAGGGAGUGGUUGGGAUGCUGUACAUUCUACUUAAUUUGAGGCUACUGUCUGCACAUGGAGCCCACAGAGCUCAUCUCUUGAGAGCAUUUUAUUACCUUUAAAAAUUGAGACAUAAUUCACACACCAUAAAAUUCACCAUUUGAAAGUAGACAAUUCAGUUCUUGUAUAACUGAGUCAUUUUGUUGUACAGAAGAAAUUAUCUCAACAUUGUAAAUCAACUAUACUUUAAUAAAACUUUAAAAAUGAAAAAAAAAAAAAACAAACCCACCCAAUUUCAGAGUUCUUGCUGUGGCAAAAUGAGACUGGCGGCAUGUGGGCGGUAUCAGUACCAGGAUGCAGGUUCGAUCCCCAGCCCCGGUAGUGGUUGCAACUGUGCCUCUGUUUUGAUCCCUGGCCUGGGAACUCCACAUGCCAUGAGGCAGCCAAAAAAAAAAAAAAAAAAA